UCUCAUUCCUCAUUCCUUAACUCUCCUCUUCAUCGACUUCCUUCACUCUCUCUCUCUUUUUUAGAAAAACCUAGAGAGAGAAAAGAUGUCUUCAUUCGACACCUUCAACAACCACCGAUCAUCCCUUCGACGAGGGUUAUGGGGCUUCGAUUCUUCUCAGCGUUUCGAUUCCUCCAGUUUCGGCCCGCCGUCUCUGAGCUUCAAUCGAAUAUCAAUUUGACAAUCUAGGGAGUGAUGAUGAAACUCUCUAAGGAUUUUCGCCCUUUUGAUUUUGACCUAAGAAAGGGAAAAAGAGGAGAGAAGAUGCGAUGAACGGCGGCGAAGGUAAUGGUGGUGGCGAAGUUUCUGGAAUCAAUUUGAUGAAACUCAUAACUUGUAAGUAUAGAAGUGGAAAUUUUUGUGAGCGGGAGGUUGUUGAUUCUAUUGCCGAAGAAUUGUGCCGAGAAUUAUUAUGUGAAUCAAUUUUUAUAUCAGUUUUUUCCAACCUAGAUUCAAUCAGGGUUGGUGACAGGAAGGUAUACGAGGAUUGAUACUAAAGACCAUCCUCCAUGGAGCUGCUGUGUGGCAUUUAUAAACUAGAGGCGUCGUUUGUGCUGGUGGCAUUCCUGGUACUUGGUGGUGAUGGAUUACAUCCUUUGUUUGCUGUCUUAGAUGUUUCUUUCUCUCUUAUUCUGCAAUAAUACUAUUGUAUUCACUCACCAACAAGAUCAUGUUAAUUAUGUAUAGAAUUACCUAUCAGGCAAUCUCAUUUCCUUGUUCUUUGUGGUGUAUAUGAUGUGCUUUGAUACAGGCUACACAACGUGGAUUGCAAAGGAAUUCUGAUUCCAAGUCAGGAACUUUUACGGUCCUAAGUUCAGACCAUUAAGUCUCAAGCCUGUUAAUCAUGCUAAAGUAGAAUAAUUAUUUGCAAAAAAAAACUUUCUUGCAUAUUGUGGGACUGCUCGUGCCCAUAUUCUCCAACUAAGCCCCCUCCCCCCCAUCCACAAUGCCUUAAUGAGCCUUAUUUAAGAUUUUAUGUAGUUAAACAGUGAACUAGAUAACAUUGACUUUUGUUGUGUUCUCUUGCCUUCUGUUAGCUUACAUGGGCCAAGCGGCAUAUUUGAUGAGCUUUCCAGCUUCAACUGAGAGAAUAUUCUAUGUAUGAAAGUGUGCUAGGAUGAGAAUGCCAUAGAACCCCCACAUUUACUCCAACGGGGUGGGCUCUGGCAGAGCUCAUUGUAGCUGCAUUAAUCCCCUAAAAUUUGUGCAUGAAAUAUUUUGAACUAUAGGACCUAUCUUAUCAAGCUGUGCCCUCCUCCAAGUAUAAUUCUCUCUCUUUUCUCUUUCUUGUUCUAAUUGGUUCAAUGUUCAUCUCUUCGAUUAGAUUUUACCUUUUAUAUGGAUGUUUUUGUUUAUAUCUGGGCUUUUCCUACAUUUUUUCGAUUGAAUUUGAUUUCAAAUGGCUCUUACUUAGCAACUUACUACUAAGGUAUCUCUUCAUUCCCAUAAUUUCCUUUAUUCAGUUCAUCUUUAAAUUGGAAUUUUUCAAUUCAAUUUGAUUAAAAGUUUGGGGGUUUCUGAUUUAGUUCAGUUUGUUUGAAAUUUAGGGGUUUUCUCGAUUCAAUUCUAUUCAUUUUUUAAAUGGAAUUUUUAUCGAAUUAUUUCAAUUAAUUCAUAAAUUUGAGGGUGUUUUUGAUUCAAUUUGGUAAAAUAUAGGGAUUUUAUUUCUAUGCAUUUUAAAGUUAGGGAUUUAUUUAUUUGUUUUUUUAUUAAGAUCGUUUAAUGUCUAAAGGAUUAUUUUCUUAAUGAAGGGUGCUAGAAAUCAGCUCUAACUACCGAGGAGGCAAGCACCCCUGCGUUUCCGUCUUGGAACUGUUCCUCUUCAAUAAAUUUUCAUUUUUUAAAAAAUGGACUCCAAUAAUUGUUUAGUAAAAGAUUAUAUUAAUUUUAAAAUUGAGCUAAUUGUUUGAAUUUAUCUUCAAUGAUUAGUGAAAUUCGCAAGUAUCAGAAGAGCACCGAGCUUUUAACCAGCAAACUCCCCUUCCAUCAUCUUGUUCUUGAAAUCGCCCAAGCGUUCAAGGAUUAUAACAACCAAGAAGUUUUUCACCGGAGUUCUAUUCAACGUGUCCCUUCACAAUUCUUAUCAAGGGCACUUUUAAUUGGCAUUAGUACCUUUUGUAGGCUUAUUGUAUAAUAAUCUAAUAUUUGUUUAUCAUUGCAAAACUAUUUAAAAUUAAGGCUGAUUUUUGUCUCAAUAUUUGACUCCAACUUAAAUUCAUAGACUUUUCUUGUAAGCACACUAUAAACAAGUAAUAGAGUAUAUUUCUUUGAAAACACAAUUUAGCUUUAAAGCUCUAAGAGCUCAAGUCUUCCUCUCCAUAAUAUUUUGUUUUAAAUAUUUAAUGUUGUCGUCUUUAAGUUAAAUGUUCUAAAGAAAACAACAUACAAUUCAAUAAUGACCCUAACACCUUGAUUAUAUGUAUAAAUUUUGAUAAAUUAGUAUGUUCAAAAGAAAACAAUAUACAAUUCAAUAGUAUGUUUCCAUCUUGAUAGAGGGAGAAAAAGGGGGAAGGAAUCAAAGAAAAGAAGGGUCGAGAGAUAGAACGUGGGUCGAAAAAGAGACAGAGUGGGCUGAAAGAGAGAGCGAAAGGGAGGACUAGAGAGAGGAGGUCUAGGAGAGAGUGAAAGAAAGAAGGGUCAUGAGAGAGGAGUUAGGAGAAAAGAGAAAAACGACCAAGAGAGGGAGAGAUGGGUCAAAAGAGGAAGCAAUAGAGCAAAAAUAGAUAAACGGGUCUAGAGAGAGAGGGGGGAUGGAAGAGAAAAAAAAAGAUGGGGGCCGAAAGAAAGAGAGAGAUAAAGAAAAGCUAAGAAAAAUAAAGAGGCCGAGGAGAGAAUGAGAGCAAGUGCAAUAUAUAGUCUCCAAAGCCUUUUAAAAGAUAGAACAAGGACAAGAGGGAUUACAAAAGAAAGAGAGAGUGAAGAGAAAGAGUU